AAAAUAGUUUUGAUGAGGACAAAAGGUAAAACGAGACGAUUUUGCAGAGAGGAAAGUGAAGGUGAGAGCUUUCUAAUACGUCGUUUUACUUACCACCUUUGAACUGCUUUCGUGAACCGAGUAGAAGUAAUGGAAGCCGACUCACACCCGUUAUCGUGUAUGAGGAGUCAUAUUCUGUAUGGGUAUGGAAACAAGGGUGGAAACACGACGAACACUCGUCCCUUUU
rnacentral:ncRNA from 1 species